UGAAGGUCAUCAGACUUAGAUAAGACUGGCCAAGGCUAAGGUUAGCAUAAACAUAGUCCAGAAAAGGAGACUUGAUUGCUUACAGCGAUAAGACGGCGAAAGAUCUCUACUAUUAUCUGGCUUCUUCAACAGCUGAAAUAGCUGUGAAACUGGAGGAGAUUUCUGAGCUCGAGCUGCCUUAGCAAGAGACCUCGGUGGUGGUGGUGGCGGAGGAGGCGGUGGUGUUGGUGGUGCAACGGGUGAAGAGUUUUCAUCUCUUUUACCUGAAUUGUUAGCUGAAGACACCAAAAACUUUGGCAAUGGCGGUGUUGGUGGUAAUCUUGAAAGUGCAGGCGAUGAUGGAGAUGAUCUUGUUUUAAUGGAGCUUGAUGACUCUACUGCUACCUCUUUUUUAACCUUGGAUUGCUCUAAUUUGCUAGCUAUUAACCUCUGUAUAUCUUUGAAUCUGCUGUUCUGAUGUUCUUUAGCUGGCUGAAUCAACCAAAACACUUUGAGAGA